rnacentral:rRNA from 1 species
UGAUCCUGGCUCAGAAUCAACGCUGGCGGCGCGCUUAACACAUGCAAGUCGAACGAGAAAGGGGAGCAAUCCCUGAGUAAAGUGGCGUACUGGUGAGUAACACGUGGAUAUCUACCUCUUGGUGGGGAAUAACCUGGGGAAACCUGGGCUAAUACCGCAUAAGUUCGUGAGAAGAAAGCCGCAAGGCGCCGAGAGAGGAGUCCGCGGUCGAUUAGGUAGUUGGCGGGGUAAGAGCCCACCAAGCCAAAGAUCGAUAGCCGGCCUGAGAGGGCACACGGCCACACUGGCACUGAAACACGGGCCAGACUCCUACGGGAGGCAGCAG